GUUAGGGGAGGAGCUCUGGGGACGGGGAGGAGGAGCGGGAAGUGAAAUGAUGAAAGUCGAAAGCAGGGGAAAGUUUCCAUAGGAAAAGUUUCUUAGUGGAAAAGGUCAUAAAUAGGAUACAAAAUCCUGAAUCCAUUCAAUCAAGUACCAUUUCUUGAGUGCAGGCCAGGGCUGCAGAGAUAACCAAGAAAAAGUGCUGACACUCUCCUGUCCUGUGAUGGGGGUCUGAAGAAAUACACAGAUGCAUACGCACCAGCCAUGCUGCCGCCUCUGACUCAGCAGUGCUGCUGCCAGGAUGUGCGUCCAUGUUCGCAGAGGGACUCGUGCGAGAAUGCCGGUGGAGGAUUACCUGUCAUAGCCCCACGCUGGAAACACCCCAAAGGCCCCCAACGGGAGGAUGGCCACGCCAGGCAGGCACCCUGCCUCCCGCAAGAAUAGGCUAGCCCUGGCUGCCCGCCACAAUCACAUGGCUCUCAAACACAACUGCAGGGAAAGAAGCCAGGCUCGAGUGUGCGCGCCGAUUCCAAGGAUGGAAAGUUCAGAUCGGGCGGAGCUGUGCUGGGGAAGGGGAAGGCGUCUGGCCAGUAGGCACAGGGAAUCUUCUGGGGCCCCCGUGAGUGGAGCUGUUCAAUCCGUGUUCAGUGGGCUCCCUUUGGGAGCAUUCUAUAUUUCUACUUCAGUAACUAAGCUAAUAAAACUUCUAAGGCCAGGUCCACAGAAGCUGGCCCCAGGGGCUGUCUCCCGUGCUCCCCUGGCUGCGGGGCCCAGGCCAGGCAGGGUGCCUCACCGGCUGUCUUGUAUCUUUGGAAUUACCGUGCAUGUGUAUUACCUUGUCAAAGAAUUAAAUCUUUUCUUUAGUAAAGAAAAAUAUGCAUUCAGGUCUUGCGCCUCACAGCUCAGCCCCUUCACCCAGGAGUAGCUGAGUGUGCCUGUGUCCCCACCUGCCUCUGCGCUCCCCUCUGCUCGUGGGCCCGGCUUGGGACCAACAACGGGGCUCCCGGCUCACAUGCUGGGGGGUUCAUCUCUGCCCCCGAUCUGCUAGUGGGGUGGCAUAGGCAGUGGCAACCUCAGGCCUCAGCAUGGUGGCCCUGCCCCGGAGAGAGAGCCCAUCUGCCCGUGUGGACCCUCUGGGGCCCCCAGCCCAGAGACCCCACCACCCUUCCUGGGCCUCCCCAGACCCACCUCCUCUCUGCCGUUCUGGGGGGCCGUGGACAGGGGACGGAUUUGCUGCCAAGUAAAAGAGGCCGGAAGAGUUUCCUCACCAAUCUCGGUUCCUUACCCAGGCCUUUGGAUGUGGUCGGUUGAGAAUAACGCUUUGACGUGUCCACUUUAUUUAAGCAUCUAGAACAUUGUAACAGAAACGUGUGACUUGUUUUGGUGACCUUUACCGUCCUUAGGUGCCCAGAAUCCUGGAAGAUUGCUCAUUUGUACUCUGUACUGUUACAAAAAAUAGGAAAAAAUGAACAACGUUAAGAAACA